AUCCCCUGAGCAUCUUGUUAAAGUGCAGAUUCUGACUCAGGAGCUCUGGGGCGGGGCCUGAGGUUCUGCAUUUCUAACAAGCUCCCAGGUGAUACCCA
rnacentral:pre_miRNA from 1 species